rnacentral:rRNA from 1 species
GACGAACGCUGGCGGCGUGCCUAAUACAUGCAAGUAGAACGCACAGUUUAUACCGUAGCUUGCUACACCAUAGACUGUGAGUUGCGAACGGGUGAGUAACGCGUAGGUAACCUGCCUGGUAGCGGGGGAUAACUAUUGGAAACGAUAGCUAAUACCGCAUAAUAUUAAUUAUUGCAUGAUAAUUAAUUGAAAGGUGCAAUUGCACCACUACCAGAUGGACCUGCGUUGUAUUAGCUAGUAGGUGAGGUAACGGCUCACCUAGGCGACGAUACAUAGCCGACCUGGGAGGGUGAUCGGCCACACUGGGACUGAGACACGGCCCAGACGCCUACGGGAGGCAGCAGGAGGGGAGCUUCGGCAAUGGACGAAAGUCUGACCGAGCAACGCCGCGUGAGUGAAGAAGGUUUUCGGAUCGUAAAGCUCGGUUGUAAGAGAAGAACGGGUGUGAGAGUGGAAAGUUCACACUGUGACGGUAUCUUACCAGAAAGGGACGGCUAACUACGUG